UGGAGAGGUGUAAUCGGAGAAGUUUCCUCGCGCGCCGCGGAGCGGCGCUGUUCUCCCACCCCUGCUGACGGCGCGGCGGCAUGGCACAUGCUUGGAGAAGCGAAUACAUCGGAGAGUGCACGUGUACAAUCUGGCGUCAGCUUCGCUCUAAAAUGUGUUGACAGCCAGAGGAAACCGCAAGGAAAUCAAGCAUUUGUGAACCACCGAGUUUCGUGGAUGAUGUCAACAGUUUGCUGGCGCCCUUGAAAGUGAUGCCCUGUAAGUAGGCAGACUUAAUGUAUUGUGCAUGCAGUUAUAAUAGCCUUUCGCGCUUAUUACUUUUUCAAGCCGGGAUUGGAGCUCCAUAUUCCUUAAUUAGUCCUGAUAUGAGCACUUUGUUCUUACCUUUUCUUUUUCUGUGCAGCGGCCACCUUCAACAGUGGAAACCGCUGCAGUAGCAUACGUCGCCGGUUUUGUCGUGAAAGCGAUAGAAGAACAAAGGAUGUGCAGCGCCUGCCCAAAACUGAAUGAUUCGGGACCAUCAAUAUCACCAGUGAUGGGACUUAUUAACCACCGAACUAGAGGGGGUUUGGUGUUCCCAAAGCUCGAGUUUGUAGCUGUUCUUGUAAAAGUAAAGAAGGCCAUCGACAUCGCAGUGCCACGUAUUAGCACAAACGAUGUGUGCAAGAUCACGGCAAUUAUUUUGCCGCAUCUGGAGAGCUGCCCUCUAUUUAUAUGCGAGGCAAGAGAGGACCAUGCCUCGGUCAUGCACAUCCUCAAUAGUGGUAAAGAAAUUCAUAAAGCCCCUCCUAUCAAACAUUGCUGCUCUUGUUACGGACAGAGCGGCCUAUCGCAAAAAAUUAAUCACUAAGCCGCUCAGUCGAAAGGUUUAGCGCGUUUAAAGAGCUCGAGCGCGCGCGAGCUGACAACUUUUUAUUGUAAAUAAAUUCCUGCAUACACUGAC